rnacentral:rRNA from 1 species
GCAGCCAUGCCGCGUGAAUGAUGAAGGUCUUAGGAUUGUAAAAUUCUUUCAGUAGGGACGAUAAUGACGGUACCUACAGAAGAAGCCCCGGCUAACUUCGUGCCAGCAGCCGCGGUAAUACGAAGGGGGCUAGCGUUGCUCGGAAUUACUGGGCGUAAAGGGAGCGUAGGCGGGUUAUCAAGUUGGAGGUGAAAGCCCAGGGCUCAACCUUGGAAUUGCCUUCAAAACUGAUAGCCUAGAGUAUGAUAGAGGUAAGUGGAACUCCGAGUGUAGAGGUGAAAUUCGUAGAUAUUCGGAAGAACACCAGUGGCGAAGGCGACUUACUGGAUCAUGAGUGACGCUGAGGCUCGAAAGCGUGGGGAGCAAACAGGAUUAGAUACCCUGGUAGNCCACGCUGUG